GGCGUCGCGUGCGUUCGAACGCGAGCGCUUACAUGCAGUUCAAGCUCGCGUCACUCCUGAUUCUUUAUUCGCGUAGCCUUGGAUGCGUGGUGUGUCAGCCGCCAUGUUGAUGCCAGUGACUAAUCUGAAGAGUCGCAGGGAGCCUGGAGCUUAUCCCAGGGGACUCGGGGCACAAUGCGGGGGAAAACCCUGGAUGGGGUGCCAGCCCAUCGCAGGGCACAAUCGCACACACACACACACACACACCCAUUCACACACUAUGGACAAUUUGGAAAUUCCAAUCAACAUACAACGCAAGUCUUCGGACUGAAGGAGGAAACCAGCGUACCUGGAGGAAACCCCUGAAGCACGUGGAGAAAAUGCAAGCUCCACACAUACGGGGGCAGAGGCAGGGUUCGGACCUCCAGGGUUGGCAACAGUGCUAACCACUAAGUCAGCGUAGCCCCCCAUCCCCCACGACCCCCCGAACAACAUGAGGCAGAAAUUAUAAGACGCAGCAGAAUGAUUUGGAAUUAAUUCUGGAUUAAAACACACACAACUGCAAUAAUUUAUAGGCUACUUAAAUAUUGAUACCUCAUUGGCUAAUUUGUGUAGCAAGGUUAAAUAAAGUCAAUGACUCCAUUUCAUGAA